rnacentral:rRNA from 1 species
CAGCAGCCACGGUAAUACGUAGGUGGCAAGCGUUGUCCGGAAUUAUUGGGCGUAAAGCGCGCGCAGGCGGAUCGAUCAGUCUGUCUUAAAAGUUCGAGGCUUAACCCCGUGAUGGGAUGGAAACUGCUGAUCUAGAGUAUCGGAGAGGAAAGUGGAAUUCCUAGUGUAGCGGUGAAAUGCGUAGAUAUUAGGAAGAACACCAGUGGCGAAGGCGACUUUCUGGACGAAAACUGACGCUGAGGCGCGAAAGCCAGGGGAGCAAACGGGAUUAGAUACCCCCGUAGUCCCUGUCUCUUAUACA